rnacentral:lncRNA from 1 species
GGGUUCGGCCACAACUCAGCUUCGGCUUUAUGGGCAAGGAAGAGGAAUUCCACCGCGGCGGUAGUUUUCGCUGCUCGGCGAGAUCGCAAACGCAACAAGCUUAGAAGCUAGGGCUAAAAGGCGAUGCAGAGGGGGUCUCGGUACUUUAUAGGGACUCGGUAGUUGAUUUAAGGCAACAAAUUUUGCGAAGAACAGGGAAGAUCGUGGACUCGUUCGGUGGUGGAUUUGUUCGGUGUCUACAAACCGGCUUGGUCACGGCGAAGAAGAAAGGGGAAGGAAGGGAAGGGCACUGCCGCAUGGGCCCCACAGAUCAGUGAGAGAUGGAACGGGACCCGAUCGUCAGACAGACAGAAGAGGGGAAGGAGACAGUGCACGUCCAUGGGCCGCGCGGCUUGGGGAGAAGAAAGAAGAAGAGGAGCUGGGCUGGGGGCCAGGCUUGGCUGCGUGUGGGGCUGGGCCAGAGUGGCCAAGGGUCAGGUUCUCCCUUCUUUUCUUUUUUUUAAGAAAAAUUCAAAACCAUUUCAAACUCAGUUUCAAAGGCAUUUAAAUACAUUUUUUUCUUUUUGUUUCUUUUUAUUUCAAAGUCUUUUCAAAGCAGUUUUCAAAUCAAUUUGAAAAUAUUUUGACUUUGACCAAAACCACACAUUGAAUAAAACAUAUGCCCCAAUAUGUAUGCACAACCAUGUUGCUAAACCUAUGGUAAAUUUUAAUUAAAUGAAAAAUAUUAUUUUCCUAUGUUUCAUGAGCACAAAAAUUCCUAAAUAAAUAAUUUUUCACCUAUUUUUAAAAUGAGCAAAUUUUAGGGUGUUACAACAAGAUAGACUCACACCUUGAUAAUUCCUAGAAAUUCCUGUUGUUGG